rnacentral:sRNA from 1 species
GCUCCCUGCUCAGCUUCCUUUACCUUGCAGUGCGCGUCCCGGGACGACUGGCGCUGUGCGCGCUCCAUGCACGAGUUUUCCGCCAAGGACAUCGACGGGCACAUGGUUAACCUGGACAAGUACCGGGGCUUCGUGUGCAUCGUCACCAACGUGGCCUCCCAGUGAGGCAAGACCGAAGUAAACUACACUCAGCUCGUCGACCUGCACGCCCGAUACGCUGAGUGUGGUUUGCGGAUCCUGGCCUUCCCGUGUAACCAGUUCGGGAAGCAGGGAGUAACGAAGAGAUCAAAGAGUUCGCCGCGGGCUACAACGUCAAAUUCGAUAUGUUCAGCAAGAUCUGCGUGAACGGGGAUGACGCCCACCCGCUGUGGAAGUGGAUGAAGAUCCAACCCAAGGGCAAGGGCAUCCUGGGAAAGUGCGUGACCUCUGGGGACAGUACGGCUGCCGGGGUGGGGGUGGGGGGGCUGCUGGGAUGCUCACACCUCCCUGGGGCAGAAUGGCUCCGGGGGGGGCGGUUGCGGGGAGGUGCUGGGACUCUCACAUCGAGUGGCCUCCUGGGGGUAAGAUGGCUCAGGGGGACAUAGAGGGCUGUGGAGGCAACCAGGGAUGCCCACACCUUUGUGGCCUCCUGGGGACAGGAUGGCUCAGGGGCCUGUGGGGGGCUGUUGGGACUCUCACACUGCAUGGCCUCCUGGGGUAAGAUGGCUCUGGGGGGCCUUGGGGGCACUGUGGCUGUGGAGGCAGCCGGGGAAGCUCACACCCUUGUGGCCUCCUGGAGACAGGACAGCUUGGGGACUGUGGGGGGCUGCUGGGGACGCUCACGUCCAUGUGCUUCUUUUCCAGUGCCAUCAAGUGGAACUUCACCAAGUUCCUCAUCGACAAGAACGGCUGCGUGGUGAAGCGCUACGGACCCAUGGAGGAGCCCCUGGUAGGUCCUCUCUAGGGAGCCCGCUUGAGGCUCGGGGGCUUGGGAGGUAGCUGCCCUAACCCAGCUUUCCUCCCCGACAGGUGAUAGAGAAGGACCUGCCCCACUAUUUCUAGCUCCACAAGUGUGUGGCCCCGCCCGAGCCCCUGCCCACGCCCUCGGAGCCUUCCACCAGCACCCAUGACGGCCUGCCUGCAAACCUGCUGGUGGGGCAGACCCGAAAAUCCAGCGUGCACCCUGCCGGAGGAAGGUCCUAUGGCCUGCUGGGCUUGGCUCGGCGCCCCCACCCCUGGCUACUUUGUGGGAAUAAACAGACAAAUUAGCCUGCUGAAUCU